AGCGGAGUGGCGCAGUGGAAGCGUGCUGGACCCAUAACCCAGAGGUCCGAGGAUCGAAAACUCGUUCUGCUA
rnacentral:tRNA from 1 species